UAUCCACACUGAUAGAUGGUAAUAACAGUAAGAAAUAAGAAGGUCAAUUACUCAUAUUCACACUGAUAGAUGGUAAUAACGGUAAGAAAUAAGAAGGUCAAUCAUAUUCACACUGAUAGAUGGUAAGGAAUAAGAAGGUCAAUUCGUAUUCACACUGAUAGAUGGUAAUAACGGUAAGAAAUAAGAAGGUCAAACACUCUUAUACGUACAUAGUUAUGACAAGUAUAAAUACCUGAAUGAACACAUGGUUGUUCAAGUAAUGAAAGAAUGUCAAUAGUUGUCAAAUAUUUUUUUAUCUUAUUCAAAUGUUAAAAAAUAGAAAAAAUCAUCAUCGGCAAAAAAAAUCACAUCAUCAUGAUGAUAUAUGCAAAAUUCUGAUGUAAACUCUGUUUAUUUUGUAAUCUUACCCAAAAGGCUUGAUAAUUAUUAUGAUGUUUUAUUAAAGUUAAUAUAGGUUUGGCUAAUU